CCCGCACAAGCGGUGGAGCAUGUGGUUUAAUUCGACGCAACGCGAAGAACCUUACCAGGUCUUGACAUCCCCUGACAACCCGAGAGAUCGGGCGUUCCCCUUCGGGGGACAGGGUGACAGGUGGUGCAUGGUUGUCGUCAGCUCGUGUCGUGAGAUGUUGGGUUAAGUCCCGCAACGAGCGCAACCCUCGACCUUAGUUGCCAGCAUUCAGUUGGGCACUCUAAGGUGACUGCCGGCUAAAAGUCGGAGGAAGGUGGGGAUGACGUCAAAUCAUCAUGCCCCUUAUGACCUGGGCUACACACGUGCUACAAUGGGCGGUACAAAGGGUCGCGAACCCGCGAGGGGGAGCCAAUCCCAAAAAGCCGCUCUCAGUUCGGAUUGCAGGCUGCAACUCGCCUGCAUGAAGCCGGAAUCGCUAGUAAUCGCGGAUCAGCAUGCCGCGGUGAAUACGUUCCCGGGCCUU
rnacentral:rRNA from 1 species